AUUGAACGCUGGCGGCAGGCUUAACACAUGCAAGUCGAGCGAGCGGCGGACGGGUGAGUAAUGUCUGGGAACCUGCCUGAUGGAGGGGGAUAACUACUGGAAACGGUCGCUAAUAACGCAUACCAUCAGAUGUGCCCAGAUGGUAUUAGCUAGUGGGUGGGGUAAUGGCUCACUUAGGCGACGAUCCCUAGCUGGUCUGAGAGGCUGACCACCCACACUGGAACUGAGAAACGGUCCAGACUCCUACGGGAGGCAGCAGUGGGGAAUAUUGCACAAUGAGGGCAAGCCUGAUGCAGACAUGCCGCGUGUGUGAAGAAGGCCUUCGGGGUGUAAAGCACUUUCAGCGAGGAGGCGUUACUCGCAGAAGAAGCACCGGCUAACUCCGUGCCAGCAGCCGCGGUAAUUC
rnacentral:rRNA from 1 species